AUUGAACGCUGGCGGCAUGCUUUACACAUGCAAGUCGAACGGUAACAGGCCGCAAGGUGCUGACGAGUGGCGAACGGGUGAGUAAUGCAUCGGAACGUGCCCAGUCGUGGGGGAUAACGCAGCGAAAGUUGCGCUAAUACCGCAUACGAUCUAUGGAUGAAAGCGGGGGACCGUAAGGCCUCGCGCGAUUGGAGCGGCCGAUGUCAGAUUAGGUAGUUGGGGGGGUAAAGGCUCACCAAGCCGACGAUCUGUAGCUGGUCUGAGAGGACGACCAGCCACACUGGGACUGAGACACGGCCCAGACUCCUACGGGAGGCAGCAGUGGGGAAUUUUGGACAAUGGGCGAAAGCCUGAUUCAGCAAUGCCGCGUGCAGGAUGAAGGCCUUCGGGUUGUAAACUGCUUUUGUACGGAACGAAAAGCCCUGGGUUAAUACCCUGGGGUCAUGACGGUACCGUAAGAAUAAGCACCGGCUAACUACGUGCCAGCCGCCGCAGUAA
rnacentral:rRNA from 1 species